rnacentral:rRNA from 1 species
UACGGAGGGGACUAGCGUUGUUCGAAAUUACUGGGCGUAAAGCGCACGUAGGCGGAUCCUUAAGUCAGGGGUGAAAUCCCGAGGCUCAACCUCGGAACUGCCUUUGAUACUGGGGAUAUCGAGUCCGGGAGAGGUGAGUGGAACUGCGAGUGUAGAGGUGAAAUUCGUAGAUAUUCGCAAGAACACCAGUGGCGAAGGCGGCUCACUGGCCCGGUACUGACGCUGAGGUGCGAAAGCGUGGGGAGCAAACAGG